CCUACGGGGGGCAGCAGUGGGGAAUAUUGCACAAUGGGCGCAAGCCUGAUGCAGCCAUGCCGCGUGUGUGAAGAAGGCCUUCGGGUUGUAAAGCACUUUCAGCGGGGAGGAAGGCGGUGAGGUUAAUAACCUCAUCGAUUGACGUUACCCGCAGAAGAAGCACCGGCUAACUCCGUGCCAGCAGCCGCGGUAAUACGGAGGGUGCAAGCGUUAAUCGGAAUUACUGGGCGUAAAGCGCACGCAGGCGGUCUGUCAAGUCGGAUGUGAAAUCCCCGGGCUCAACCUGGGAACUGCAUUCGAAACUGGCAGGCUAGAGUCUUGUAGAGGGGGGUAGAAGUCCAGGUGUAGCGGUGAAAUGCGUAGAGAUCUGGAGGAAUACCGGUGGCGAAGGCGGCCCCCUGGACAAAGACUGACGCUCAGGUGCGAAAGCGUGGGGAGCAAACAGGAUUAGAUACCCGGGUAGUC
rnacentral:rRNA from 1 species